UACGAAGGUGGCAAGCGUUGUUCGGAUUUACUGGGCGUACAGGGAGCGUAGGCGGUUGGGUAAGCCCUCCGUGAAAUCUCCGGGCCUAACCCGGAAAGUGCGGAGGGGACUGCUCGGCUAGAGGAUGGGAGAGGAGCGCGGAAUUCCCGGUGUAGCGGUGAAAUGCGUAGAGAUCGGGAGGAACACCAGUGGCGAAGGCGGCCUUCUGGACCAAUACUGACGCUCAUGCACGAAAGCGUGGGGAGCAAACAGG
rnacentral:rRNA from 1 species